GCCCGCAAGGGUGAGUAAAGUGGCGUACGGGUGAGUAACACGUGGGUAAUCUACCUUUUGGUGGGGAAUAACCCUGGGAAACCGGGGCUAAUACCGCAUAAGCUCGAAAGAGGAAAAGAGAAAUUUGCCGAAAGAGGAGCCCGCGGCUGAUUAGCUAGUUGGUGAGGUAAAGGCUCACCAAGGCGAAGAUCGGUAGCCGGCCUGAGAGGGCACACGGCCACACUGGCACUGAAACACGGGCCAGACUCCUACGGGAGGCAGCAGUGGGGAAUCUUGCACAAUGGGGGCAACCCUGAUGCAGCGACGCCGCGUGAGCGAUGAAGCCCUUCGGGGUGUAAAGCUCUUUCGGCAGGAACGAUAAUGACGGUACCUGAAGAAGAAGCUGCGGCUAACUACGUGCCAGCAGCCGCGGUAAUACGUAGGCAGCGAGCGUUGUUCGGAGUUACUGGGCGUAAAGCGUGCGUAGGCGGUUUUGUAAGUUUGGUGUGAAAUCUCCCGGCUCAACUGGGAGGGUGCGCCGAAAACUGCAAGGCUGGAGUGUGGGAGAGGUAGGCGGAAUUCCUGGUGUAGCGGUGAAAUGCGUAGAUAUCAGGAGGAACACCUGUGGUGUAGACGGCUUACUGGACCAUGACUGACGCUGAGGCACGAAAGCGUGGGGAGCAAACAGGAUUAGAUACCCUGGUAGUCCACGCCCUAAACGAUGCAUACUUGGUGUGGGCAGUUCAUUCUGUCUGUGCCGGAGCUAACGCGUUAAGUAUGCCGCCUGGGGAGUACGGUCGCAAGGCUGAAACUCAAA
rnacentral:rRNA from 1 species